UAACGGUUAAAUAAUCAUUUUUAUUUACAGCACGACCAAGAUCAGAAGUUAGGGACAAUCUACAUUGAAUAUUUUUUAACAAUGUUGAUAAAUAAAAACAAUAUUGUGAAUGGAGUCUAAAAAUAUCAGACUGACAAGUAGUUCUAGGAAUACCGUUAAACAUAGAAUUAUAAAUUGCUUGUAUACUAACGAAUAAAGGCAUCAGAAGAAGGAAAACUAAAAGGCAAACAACCCACAACUACCAUUUUAGCUAUUUCUUCCGGGUCCCUCAAUUUAUUAUACUUUUUCGCUACGUGACCGGUUGCUGGGUCCAUUCUAGUUUGCGUUGGCCACCAACAUCCCCACCACCUUGUGUAAUAUUUAACUCUCU
rnacentral:lncRNA from 1 species